CACAUAUAACUUAACAGAUCAUUAUAUUUUAUUAUUUUCUUGUCUACAUCUUGAAGAAUUCACAUUAAUAUUUGUGUUAAUGUUUCAAUUUUUUGGAUGUAUUUGUACUGUUCUCUGUUAAAAAGAGAUUGAAAUUGAAAGAUUAUAAAGGGUCGACAAUGUAUUUUCACAAAAAGAUAUACUUGAAACAAAAACUUACUUUAUUCAUGCAGCCACUAGUCAAUAAUUCCCAAAUUUCUACACUGAGAAUAGGAUAAAGCCACACUUAGCCAGUAAGAGUAUUUCAAAUCCUGAGGGAUCCAACAAAGCUGACUGUAAAGAAGUGAUGAUUUCAAAUAGCUAGUUCAUUAGCAUACAUGCAGGCAAUUUACCUGACUCUUUGAAAUAAGUAAUAAGACCUCCAGAAUAGACAUAUAUGAAUUAAAGACAUAUUCCAAGCAAAGUAAUUUGUCUUAUUUUUAAGGAUACCUGAUUAAGCUCUGUUAUUGCUCUAGGGACAAUUUCUAACGCCAUGGCAAGGGUACUUGUGUCUCACUCCUUUUGAUAUACUCAUAUUAAGAAUACAGACUCCAAAAGGCAAGUCAUUCUUUGAAAACCAUGGAAGAUAGAUAAAAAAGACAAAGAGCUUAAAAAUAACUGCAAAGUUGAGAAAAGUAAUUAUGACCUUUGGAUGUAUGAGAGCAAUCAAGGGAUUUGGGGGGAAGAAAAUUUAAAGAAGAUUGCUAUUAGAAAGAGCAUUUAAAAACUCUACAUCAGGGAGUUCCUGUUGUGGCUCCGCAGAUUACUAACCGACUGGUGUCCAUGAGGAUGAGAGUUCAAUCCCUGGCCUUGCUCAGCGGGGAUCUGGUGUUGCUGUAAGCUGUGGUGUAGGUCACAGACCCAUCUCAGAUCCUGCAUUGCUAUGGCUGGGUCAUAGGCUGGCAACUGCAACUCGGAUUUGACCCUCUAGCCUGGGAAAUUUCAUAUGCCAUAGGUGUGGCCCUAAAAAAAAUAAUAAUAUUAAAAAAUAAAAAAAAUCAGUGGAUGCUAAUAUUCAGAAUUAAUCUCAUGUAUACUAAAGUAACUGGCUAAAGGCAUUUCAAGGUCAUAGAGCCCUCCAUGUACUUAACUGAUAGAGUAAGUGUUUAUGAGUAUUUUGGUAUUGGUAUUAGUCAUAGUAAGCUAAGCUUUGCAGCAGUAAUAAAACUCAGUAAUUCUCUAAUCUUGGCUUUGUGUGAGAAUCCAAUUACCAGCACUGUUGAGUAUUUUUGGUGGCUGUAUUUAGAACUUGUUCUUUGAUGGUGACUCAGGAAGCCAGGGUCUUUCCACUAGCCAUAGAUAGAAAAGAGAGAGAAUGAAGAAUUCUCACCUGUUUUUAACUGUCUCGGGCAACAAAUAACAAUGACUGUCACUCACUUUUAUACUGAAGAGGACCCAAUCAUAUGAUCCAAAUCUAACCAUUAGGGAUACUGAGGACUGUCAUUUUCAGUGUUCUAUAGGAAAGGGAAUUGUUGUAUUAAACAUAUACCAUAGUCCCCAUUACAGUACUCUGGGGAAUACAGCGAGAGCUAGGCGAGUUACCAAAGGCUUUUAAAAGUAUAUACUUGAAAGGGAAAAUUACUUCACCCAUGAAGCAGCUAGUCAAUAUUUCAUAAAUUCCUGCCUAGAGAGUACAAUGUUCCAUUUGAUUUCUGAUAGAGCAUUAGAGGUUUGCAAAAGCAGGCUUCCCUGGGCCAUAUACAUGUUCAUUAUUUGUUUUACCUACCAGGAGAAAGAGAACUUAAAUACAUAAGUUCUGACCUACAAGUUUACCAGUGAAGGCUAAAGAGGAGAGACAGAUGAGAAUCACUCAUCUAAAGGGAGAAAAAAAUAUUGAUUAUGUAAUAUACCAUAGAAAAGAGCAUUACUAGGUGCUGUUGUCACAGAAAUUUGUGUUAAAUAUUAGUCACGUACUUUAUGGACCCUAGUAGGGGCCCAGAAGUCCUAGUAAUCUGUAGAAAAUGCUCGUUCUGUUUGGGCUUUUGUUUUGGUUUGAAUGUUGAGACUGAUGACACUUCAUAUGCACCAAGAAGGUAUAAAAAGUUUUAUUACUCACAAGAGGCUUUCUGGAGAGAAAAGAAUAUGCUCCCACUGGUUUAAAGAUGGCCUUGAGAGAGCAGGGAAGGAGACUGCCUUGGAAUUUAUGGAAGUUACAGGGUGGGGCUGGGGCUGGAUCCCAGGGGGAUGGAACUUUCAUUGUUUUAACUUCCCACUGGCUCCAAGGGCGAAAGCAUUCAGGCUUUCUUACCCGCUUAUUGAGGUGUAGGGAAGAAGGGCAAAGGGGAGUGGACAGACUUCAACGCUGUCGGCUGUCAAACAUAUAAAAGGAGUCAGACUUGGUGACAGCUUUUCUGAAGGUCAUCUAUAUGUUUCUGUCUCAAAUAACAUCGAAUCUGACAUUCAACAUGUCAACGUGUGUGUGUGUGUGUGUGUGUGUGUGUGUGUGUGUUGGGAGGAGGAUUAUAAAUAUUAAUAAAAAAUUGGAAAAUUUAACUUUUAUCACCUGAGAAGUCUCCUUAAGCAAGCUUUAGAACUUGUUACAGACAUAUGUAAUAUUAAAGGUAAAAAUACGAGACUACUCAAGUAAUUGUUCUGUUUUUGUCAGGCAAGGUCCUUGAUUGUCUUUGGUGUAAAAACUCUCCAUGGAAUAAAUAUCAGAAUGUAUUAUGCAGCUAGAAAAUUAAAAAAGGUCUAUGAUCAUCAACGGGUAUCCUCACACUAAUUUCAAACAUGAAAAUCAUACCAUAGAUUUGUUUUAAUUUUUCAUUUUCUAACAAAUAUUUACUGGAUAUGUACUACAUGCUGGGCUUUAGAAUCUUGGCACACUUGAAAAGACUUGAAUGGUUCACAGGCAGUUUGAAAUAAGUAUGGUAGAAGUUCCCUAUCCAUUCAAUAUUUAACUUAAGGACUGGAAAGUUUGACAAAUAAUGCAUGUUUUAUUAUACUUAUCACAUGUAGCAUACCUGCAUACCAAAUUAAAAAUUAGUAGAAAUUGAAGCUGAAAAAUGAACUCCAGGAUGAGUUUUUUCAUCCCAAGUACUGAAAAGAAUCACAGUCUGUGACUCUGGGAACAUAUAUCAUUCCACCUCGUGGCAGUUUUCUUCAUUGACCACAUGGUCAUGAUUUUUCAUAUACCCUAGUCCAGGUGAGAAUAUUUCUGACGGUCUUCUCAUUUGGAGGUCUUCUCAGGUCUUUCUCUCCACCUCUUACACAGUGAGAGCACCCAGUGAGGGCUGACAGUAGGAAAAAAAUAUCAAAACUCCUCACAUUGCAUACAAUGUGCCUUAAACGAGCAUUGGCCCAGAUUUUAUUGGAUUUUCAUUCCAGUAGUUUUGUCCAACUUUGUGGUCAAAUUUGUUUCUUUGUGGCCUGUGGUAAAGCAAAUUUUCUUUUGGUACAACAUAAGCUUGAAUGCCCAUGUUUUAGAACUGGAAACAGAAUCACUUGCGCAGGAAAAAAAAAAAAAAAAAUUAAAAAAAAAAA
rnacentral:lncRNA from 1 species